UCAGGGGGCCGGGCGACCGCGGGCCGCCGCUCAUAUGGGCGGAGGCGCGAGGAAAGUCCGGGCUCCACGGAAAACGGUGCCGGAUAACGUCCGGCGGGUCCGCCGUUUCGGCGGCGGAUCAAGGGACAGUGCAACAGAAAGCAGGUCGCGCAGGCUUCGGUCCCGCGACAGUGAAAGGGUGCGGUAAAAGCGCACCGCGUCGGCCGGCAACGGCCACGGCACGGUAAACCCCACCGGGAGCAAGACCGAAUAGGGGCGGCUAAGGGCUUUGAUGCCCGCUUCUUUCCGGAAGGCCGCCCGGGUUGGUCGCUUGAGCGGCGGAGCAAUCCGCCGCCUAGAGGAAUGGUCGCCCAUCCCUUUUCGAAGGGUGGACAAAACCCGGCUUACAGGCCCCCUGACAAU
rnacentral:RNase_P_RNA from 1 species